CCUACGGGAGGCAGCAGUGAGGAAUAUUGGUCAAUGGACGAAAGUCUGAACCAGCCAAGUAGCGUGAAGGAUGACUGCCCUGUGGGUUGUAAACUUCUUUUAUAUGGGAAUAAAAUGUUCCACGUGUGGGAUUUUGUAUGUACCAUAUGAAUAAGGCUCGGCUAACUCCGUGCCAGCAGCCGCGGUAAUACGGAGGAUCCGAGCGUUAUCCGGGUUUAUUGGGGUUAAAGGGAGCGUAUGUGGAGUGUUAAGUCAGUUGGGAAAGUGUGCGGCUCAAACGUAAAAUUGCAGUUGAAACUGGCAGUCUUGAGUACAGUAGAGGUGGGCGGAAUGCGUGGUGUAGCGGUGAAAUGCAUAGAUAUCACGCAGAACUCCGAUUGCGAAGGCAGCUCACCGGACUGCAACUGACACUGAGGCACGAAAGUGUGGGUAUCAAACAGGAUUAGAUACCCUGGUAGUC
rnacentral:rRNA from 1 species